GACGUAGGUGGCGAACGUUAUCCGGAAUUAUUGGGCGUAAAGGGUGCGUAGAUGGUCGGAUAAGUUAGCGGUGGGAAAUCGAGGCCUAACCUCGUGGAAGCCGGUAAUACUGUCUGACUUGAGGGCAGGAGAGGUUAACGGAACUCCAUGUGGAGCGGUAAAAUGCACAGAUAUAUGGAAGAACAUCAAUAACGGCGAAGGCAGUUAACUAUUCUGUUCCUGACAUUGAGGCACGAAAGCGUGGGGAGCAAAACGG
rnacentral:rRNA from 1 species